GAAGCCCGCCAGACCGCCGCUGGUGCAAGGCCCGAAAGGGCGCACUGGAGGAACGUCCGGACUGCACAGGGCAGCGCAGGAGCUAACGGCUCUCCACCGUGAGGUGAGGAUCAGAGCAACAGAGACGAGCCGAUUUAAGUUCGGGUGAAACGGGCAAUCUCUGCGCGCAGCAACACCAAGUAGGUUGGCUUUGGAGCGGCCCGCUCUUGCCAACGGGUAGGUGGCACCGAGCCGGGUGGGCGACCCCCGGCCCAGAUGGAUGGCGGUCACGCGAGCGGGCAACCGCCGCGCACAGAAUCCGGCGUAUCGGCGGACUUCACAU
rnacentral:RNase_P_RNA from 1 species